rnacentral:rRNA from 1 species
UCCGUAAUGCACCGACGCCGUAUGGUGGAUGACUUGGCUUGGGUGGCGACGAAGGACGCGGCAAGCUGCGAAAAGCCCCGGGGAGGCGCACGCAUCCCUUGAUCCGGGGGUCUCCGAAUGGGGUAAAACCCACCGAGAUUGCCGCAAGGCGUCUUGGUGAUCCGAAAGGAUCGCGAACGCUGGGGAAGGAAACAUCUGAGUACCAGCAGGAAGAGAAAUCAACUGAGAUCCCGUUACUAGCGGCGAGCGAAAGCGGGACAGCCCAAACCGAAUCCCCUGGUGAAAGCCAGGGGAGAUGUGGGGUUCGCCUUCAGCGUGUGCGACCCUGGGACCGAUAGCCGAACUCGGCUGGAAAGCCGGAGAACAGAGUGUGAUACUCACGUAGGUCAAUCGGGACCGAGGUCGCGCUGAGGGCAGAGUACCUGGCCUUGGCAGUGGCUAGGGAAGAUGGGGGAAAGCAGCCUCCAAGGCUAAACACUACCCAAGACCGAUAGCAAACUACGUACCGCGAGGGAAAGUUGCAAAGGGCCCCGAAAGGGGUGUGAAAAGAGCCUGAAACCAUACGGUUACAGACGUGCGCGGCAUGGAAGGACCACGAUCCCCGAGCGAGUCCCGCAAGGGGCUCAAUUGGGGGUAAGUGCUCCGGUGUCGCGCAUUCCGUCUAGAANNNNNNNNNNNNNNNNNNNNNNNNNNNNNNNNNNNNNNNNNNNNNNNNNNNNNNNNNNNNNNNNNNNNNNNNNNNNNNNNNNNNNNNNNNNNNNNNNNNNGACCACGAUCCCCGAGCGAGUCCCGCAAGGGGCUCAAUUGGGGGUAAGUGCUCCGGUGUCGCGCAUUCCGUCUAGAAACACGGGCCAGGGAGUUAACUGUCAUGGCGAGCCUAAGGGUUCAAAGCCCGGAGGCGAAGCGAAAGCGAUACUCCGCAAGGCCGCAAGGCCCCAGGGAGGAGGUGUGAAAGUGCCUUUGAGUCAUGGCGGUUUAGACUAGAAACCGAGUGAUCGUGCCCUCGACAAGGUGAAGCCGGGCGAAAGCCUGGUGGAGGCCUGACAGGGUCUUAACGUGCAACUUAGUCCCCUGAUCGGGGGCAAGGGGCCAAAAGCCUAUCUAACUCGGUGAUUGCUAGUUCCCACCGAAGCGGAUCCCAGUCCUGUCUCCGUGGAUGUAGCUCACGCCGUAGAGCACCGAUGAAGAAACAAGGAUUCGAAAGGGUCCACUUCUUUUUCGAACUCCGAAUGUGUGGGCGCAAAAGAAGCGGGGAAGCGGGUUUAUGUGGGGUAAGCCUCAUAACCGAGAGGGGAUUAACCCAGACUGGAGUUAAGGUCCCCAAGUUUAGGCUAAGUGUCAAGCUAAAGGGUGUCCGCGAGCUCAGACAGCAGGGAGGUAGGCUUAGAAGCAGCCAUCCUUCAAAGAUAGCGUAACAGCUCACCUGCCGAGUUUGCAGGCCCCGAAAAUGGACGGGACUAAAGCCUAGCACCGAUACUCCGGACAACCGUUCUGAGAACGGUUUGUGGUAGGUGGGCGUAGAGAUUGGGCGGAAGCCGGGCCGUGAGGUCCGGUGGACCGAUUUCUAGUGCAGAUCCUGGUAGUAGUAGCAGCAUAGUCGGGUGAGAAUCCUGACCGCCGCAAGGGCACGGGUUCCCUGGCAAUGCGUCGUCAGCCAGGGGUUAGCCGAUCCUAAGUGUAUCCUCAACAGGGAAACACGAACCAGGGAAACUGGUUAAAAUUCCAGUGCCUUCGUUUGACCGAUGGGCCGCAAGGCCCGGCAUCGGCUCCGACGCUUCGAGGUAGGACGUGCAGAGUUUAUCGCUCUGUCUAAUCUUCCGAGUCGUGGGGAGUGUCGUAAUGACGAGAACCACGUCGAGGGGAGAAUGGCAGCCCGUUGGGGUUGUUCGCCCAAUCCUCGGAGACCGUGAAAACGGAGCUGGAAAGACCAAGCGAAGUUCGUACCCAGAACCGACACCGGUGCCCCUAGGUAAGAAGCCUAAGGCGUGUCGGGGAACUGUAGGUAAGGGAACUCGGCAAAAUAGUGGCGUACGUUAGCUAGAAGCCAUGCCUGCAUCCUUCAUGAGAAAUGGGGUUUGCAGGUUGCAAUAACAAGGGGGUCCCGACUGUUUACUAAAAACACAGUAAGCCGCAAGUCCGAAAGGAUGUGUACGGCUUAUGAAUCCUGGCCAGUGCAGGUACCUAAAACCUGGGUUCAACUGGGCUAAGGGCCUGUAAACGCCGGGAGUAACUCUGACUCUCUUAAGGUAGCCAAAUGCCUUGUCGGGUAAGUUCCGACGUGCAUGAAUGGACCAACGAGGGCCCCGCUGUCCCUAUCUACGACCCGGCGAACCUACGUAAGGUGGACGAACAGUCCAUCAACUUCCAUCGGGGAGAGAAGUCCCUGUGGAGCUUUACUGCAGCUUGUUGCUGCGAUGCGGUUUUCUUUGCAGAGUGUAGCUGGGAGCCUUCGAAGCGCUGCCUUCGGGUGGCGUGGAGGCACCAAUGUAACACCAGCCUUAGAGGACUGCGUCGCUAACUCCUACGGGAGGACAACGGCAGGUGGGCAGUUCGGCUGGGGCGGCACCCCCUUGAAAAGAUAUCGAGGGGGCCCUAAGGUCG